UCUUCUCUCUAUUCUGUUCUCUCCUCCUCUCCUCUUCUCUCUAUUCUCUCCAUCCCUCUCCUCUCUGUUAUCCUCUUCUCUGUCCCCUGCUCUUCAUCAGCACAGUCAGUGUGUUUCACCUAUAGGUCCUAUAGGGUUGGACUAGUCUACUGCUCGUGCACCUAUAGGGUUGGACUAGUCUACUGCUCGUGCACCUAUAGGGUUGGACUAGUCUACUGCUCUUGCACCUAUAGGUCCUAUAGGGUUGGACUAGUCUACUGCUCGUGCACCUAUAGGGUUGGACUAGUCUACUGCUCGUGCACCUAUAGGGUUGGACUAGUCUACUGUUCGUGCACCUAUAGGUCCUAUAGGGUUGGACUAGUCUACUGCUCGUGCACCUACAGGGUUGGACUAGUCUACUGCUCGUGCACCUAUAGGGUUGGACUAGUCUACUGCUCGUGCACCUAUAGGGUUGAACUAGUCUACUGCUCGUGCACCUAUAGGGUUGGACUAGUCUACUGCUCUUGCCAUUUGCACACAAAGAAGGAACAACUGUAACUGCAAUCUCUAAAUGCCAAGUAUCCACCAUCCAACUGUCUUCAAAUAAAACCUAAAUGUAUUUAAACAUA